rnacentral:rRNA from 1 species
UACGGGGGGGGUAAGCGUUGUUCGGAAUUACUGGGCGUAAAGGGCUCGUAGGCGGCCAACUAAGUCAGACGUGAAAUCCCUCAGCUUAACUGGGGAACUGCGUCUGAUACUGGAUGGCUUGGAUUUGGGAGAGGGAUGCGGAAUUCCAGGUGUAGCGGUGAAAUGCGUAGAUAUCGUAAGGAAGACCAGUGGCGAAGGCGGGUCUCUGGACAGUUCCUGACGCUGAGGCACGAAGGUCAGGGGAGCAAACGGG